rnacentral:ncRNA from 1 species
UGAUAGCGUUGAAGCGUGAGGUUGCUGCCGGGCCGAAAGGCACUGCAGGUUUUCCGUGGAGCGAAUGUCAAGAGGCCAUGCA